rnacentral:SRP_RNA from 1 species
GCUGGGCGUGGUGGCUCACGCCUGUAAUCCCAGCACUUUGGGAGGCCAAGAUGGGAGGAUCACCUGAGGUCAGGAGUUUGAGACCAGCCUGGCCAACAUGGUGAAACCCCAUCUCUA